GUGGCAUCUUCAUGUUGGUAGACUGAUAUGCCAACUCUGAGGAAGUGGUGGUGUAUAUUGCUAGUGGACAAUUUCAAACUUGGGUGCAUGGUGAGCCACAGGAAAGAGUUUGCCCAUUGGACAGAUAAGGCAAAAGCAUUACUGCAGGGUGAAGUGCCACCAGUCUAUCAGCUACAGAAGUGAAAUUUGAAUAUAAUUGCUGAGGAAGAGGUGCAACCACAGCUCCUUCAAGUUAGUGGUGGCCCACUCCAAAAAGAUAUGGCGGGAAAAAAUGUUUUGGUAAAAGGAUUGUGCAAGACAGCACAAAAGCCUCGGACAGGGCGGGGG